GGUGGGUUGGCUCAGUGGUUAGAGCUUAGGUCUCAUAACCAAAAGAUUGUGGGAUCAAAUCCCGCUACAGGCUG
rnacentral:tRNA from 1 species